rnacentral:rRNA from 1 species
UUUUAACACGAAGUGAGUGGCGGACGGGUGAGUAACACGUGGGUAACCUGCCCAGAAGCAGGGGAUAACACCUGGAAACAGAUGCUAAUACCGUAUAACAGAGAAAACCGCCUGGUUUUCUUUUAAAAGAUGGCUCUGCUAUCACUUCUGGAUGGACCCGCGGCGCAUUAGCUAGUUGGUGAGGUAACGGCUCACCAAGGCGAUGAUGCGUAGCCGACCUGAGAGGGUAAUCGGCCACAUUGGGACUGAGACACGGCCCAGACUCCUACGGGAGGCAGCAGUAGGGAAUCUUCCACAAUGGACGCAAGUCUGAUGGAGCAACGCCGCGUGAGUGAAGAAGGGUUUCGGCUCGUAAAGCUCUGUUGUUAAAGAAGAACGUGGGUGAGAGUAACUGUUCACCCAGUGACGGUAUUUAACCAGAAAGCCACGGCUAACUACGUGCCAGCAGCCGCGGUAAUACGUAGGUGGCAAGCGUUAUCCGGAUUUAUUGGGCGUAAAGCGAGCGCAGGCGGUCUUUUAAGUCUAAUGUGAAAGCCUUCGGCUCAACCGAAGAAGUGCAUUGGAAACUGGGAGACUUGAGUGCAGAAGAGGACAGUGGAACUCCAUGUGUAGCGGUGAAAUGCGUAGAUAUAUGGAAGAACACCAGUGGCGAAGGCGGCUGUCUGGUCUGUAACUGACGCUGAGGCUCGAAAGCAUGGGUAGCGAACAGGAUUAGAUACCAUGCCCGGGUUUAUCGAUGCGGCCUUAACGUAAAUGGCCCCUGGUAGUCCAUGCCGUAAACGAUGAUUACUAAGUUUUAAAGGGCCCUGUGUGCCGGUACCGGUAAAAGUUGGAGGGUUUCCGCCCUUCAGUGCUGCAGCUAACGCAUUAAGUAAUCCGCCUGGGGAGUACGACCGCAAGGUUGAAACUCAAAAGAAUUGACGGGGGCCCGCACAAGCGGUGGAGCAUGUGGUUUAAUUCGAAGCUACGCGAAGAACCUUACCAGGUCUUGACAUCUUCUGCCAACCUAAGAGAUUAGGCGUUCCCUUCGGGGACAGAAUGACAGGUGGUGCAUGGUUGUCGUCAGCUCGUGUCGUGAGAUGUUGGGUUAAGUCCCGCAACGAGCGCAACCCUUAUUACUAGUUGCCAGCAUUCAGUUGGGCACUCUAGUGAGACUGCCGGUGACAAACCGGAGGAAGGUGGGGACGACGUCAAAUCAUCAUGCCCCUUAUGACCUGGGCUACACACGUGCUACAAUGGAUGGUACAACGAGUCGCGAAACCGCGAGGUUUAGCUAAUCUCUUAAAACCAUUCUCAGUUCGGACUGUAGGCUGCAACUCGCCUACACGAAGUUGGAAUCGCUAGUAAUCGCGGAUCAGCAUGCCGCGGUGAAUACGUUCCCGGGCCUUGUACACACCGCCCGUCACACCAUGAGAGUUUGUAACACCCAAAGCCGGUGGGGUAACCUUUUAGGAGCUAGCCGUCUAAGGUGGG